rnacentral:misc_RNA from 1 species
UCCGACUUGAAGCCGGCAGUCUCAUGUGAAAAAUACAACACAUGACAUGGGUUGCGCUCGUUUACGGACUUAACCGAACACCUCAAGGCACGAGCUGACGACAACCAUGCAGCACCUGUCACCGGGUUCCUUGCGGCACAACCACCUUUCGGCAGUCUUCCCGGGAUGUCAAGUCUUGGUGAGGUUUUCCGCUUAUUGUCGAAUUAAACCAGAUGCUCCACCGCUUGUGUGGGUCCCCGUCUAUUCCUUUGAGUUUUAAUCUUGCGAUCGUACUACCCAGGCGGAUAACUUAUCGCGUUAGCUUAGUCACUGAAGGGGUCGAAUCCUCCAACAACGAGUUAUCAUAGUUUAGGGCGUGGACUAC